GGGGAAGAAACCCAGGUCCUUGCACAUGCUAGCCAAGUGCUUUACCUCUGUGCUACAUCCCUCAGCCUUCAGGUUCUUUUUGAUAAGGCUGGCAGCAGAGCCAGGUAAGAAGUUAGAGCAGAUGAAGAAUUGCUGAAAAAGUUGAAACUACCAAUAAGCAAUAAGGAAAUGCCACAUCAUUUAGCUCCAGGCCAAGGCUUACAGGACUGAUAUUUUAUCUCAGGUACUCUGUUAGAUAUUAGUGAUAAUAAUGUGAGCUUUUCCUGCUUUUCAGUUGUUCGAGUGAAGACAAUUAGCCAUAGGACAAGCCAGCUUAUGAUAAGUACUGCAAUAAAAGAACAUGAAAAUUUUGUAUUUUAUUACAAGAAAAAAAGAGUCAAAGUGGAUGCGGCAGAGUGGAGGUCAUUAAGCAAUAAGGAUCAUUAUUUUCACCUCUUUUUCUCCAUUCAUUAUUUUGAGUCUACCAACAAGCAGAUGCCAACAUGGAAUUGAACUGAAAAAAAUUGAAUGAAACACCUGUAAGGGGAAAAUUGGAGGGAGCUGGAGGAAGCUGGGAAGGUUAUCAGACUGAUGCAGAUCUGACUUCUGUGAAGGAACUAUAGAAUAUCAGCACUGAAGGAAGCUUUCAUCUGAGAAGGAAAAUGAGGCUGAAGAGAUUUUCCUGAUGUCAGCGAUCAAACUCGGGACCUCCCUCUUUCGAGGCAGGUAGCGGAAUCACUGAGCUAAAUCCCUGACCCCUUUUCCUGCUCAUCGUAGAAGUCAACUGGCCUGGGAAAAGACUUUCACUAACAUCUG
rnacentral:lncRNA from 1 species